rnacentral:tRNA from 1 species
GUCAGGAUGGCCGAGCGGUCUAAGGCGCUGCGUUCAGGUCGCAGUCUCCUCUGGAGGCGUGGUUUCGAAUCCCACUUCUGACA